rnacentral:rRNA from 1 species
UACGAAGGGGGCUAGCGUUGCUCGGAAUCACUAGGGCGUAAAGCGCACGUUAGGCGGCUUUUAAGGUCACGGGUGAAAGUCCUGGCAGCUCAACUCCAGAACUGCCUUUGAUGACUGGGAGCUUGAGUCCGGGAGAGGUGAGUGGAACUGCGAGUGUAGAGGUGAAAUUCGUAGAUAUUCGCAAGAACACCAGUGGCGAAGGCGGCUCACUGGCCCGGUACUGACGCUGAGGCGCGAAAGCGUGGGGAGCAAACGGGG